CAGUCGCCGCGGGAAUACGAAGGGUGCAAGCGUUACUCGGAAUUACUGGGCGUAAAGCGUGCGUAGGUGGUGGUUUAAGUCCGUUGUGAAAGCCCUGGGCUCAACCUGGGAAUUGCAGUGGAUACUGGGUCACUAGAGUGUGGUAGAGGAUAGUGGAAUUUCCGGUGUAGCAGUGAAAUGCGUAGAGAUCGGAAGGAACAUCUGUGGCGAAGGCGACUAUCUGGGCCAACACUGACACUGAGGCACGAAAGCGCGGGGAGCAAACAGGAUUAGAUACCCCGGUAGUCCCUGUCUCUUAUAC
rnacentral:rRNA from 1 species